UCUGCUUCUCUAGAUUGUUGGAAGGUCAAUGCUUUGCUUAUUGCCGGCUAGUAGUGAUCAGAUCGCUUUUGGAAGCUGCUGUGAGAAGCUGUGGUUGAGUGGCCAAGUUUGAAUAAUAUAAUUUCGAGCAUUAUUGAGGAAGAUACUAGGCUAAGACAUUCCAAAGUGGAUGAUCAAGGUGGGGUUGAUGCCCGUGGUGCUUUAUCCAUUAAGGACAAGGAAAAACUGAUAUGUGGUCACUGUGGUUGAGAAGAACAUAAAAUAGAGAAAUGUUUUAAGAAACAUGGCUUUCCACCUCCAUGGAAAAAGGGAAAAACUCAGCCGGAGGGAGUUCGAGGUACUAAUUGGAAUAAGCAAACCACACUGCAUCUGAAAGGGAGCUUCCAGUGGUAGAUGUUCAUGCUCAUCGGAAAUACAACUCUAAGCUCAUCCUCCACUCAAGGUUUCUCUGCUGAUUCCACUUACCAUACCACUACCCAAGGAGCUAGGAACAGGGAGAAUUCUUGGGACCGGGACUGUGCAUAAUGGACUAUUACCAUGAUGAAGGAAGUGAUGAGGUUACUUUUGUAUCUCCAAGAUGUCUCCGUGUCAAGAAUUAUUAUUACUUCACCGCAGGCUUGGACAUCCCUCUUUUGCAGGAUUUUUGGGUAAUCCCAUGAUGUGGUUAAGCGGGAUUUUUGGGUUUAGAUGUGGAAAACCCCUUGUUUUGAGAUGAAGGCUCUAGACAAUGGUUACACAAAUGAAUUCCGUACAAAAUCCCUAUAAAACCUCCUUGGUUUGGGUCUUCAAUCUUGCUAUGGGCGAUCGUCUAGGUUGCGCUAUGUCUUGGCGAGUGGAUGAGCUCCUAGGGUUCUCCAUAAGUUGUGGCACUCAAAAGCAGAGUGUAUGCCGGUUGGGUACCAUGAGCAGUAGUCAUCGAGGGCAUGCUCUUAGCGUUCCUAUGCACUUGUAGGUUUCUUACCUCAUGGCUUCUGCUAUGUAGUCAUAGAAGGAGCAUCACUCUUGCGCUUCCAAGCCGAGCCUGAGUAGUCUUGGUGAAUGUUGUAGCGAGUAGGGCUGUACGGCUCGACUCCUUCUCAUUCUUUUUUGCUUGGCAAUGCUGACAUCGCGAGCGUGGUGGCCAAUAUUGAUAAUGUUGCGCUGGUCGUUGGUGGAGUUUUUGUAGAGGUCGCCACACUCUUGUUGCUCCAUAGUGCACUGCCUGCGCCUUACGUGUUUGAAGUUCUUGAGCUUGCAACGAUACAUUUGUGAUUCAUUAUUACUAGGAAGACUGCGCGCUACGCCGCGCCUAUCUGGAGAGGUGCAGCAAAACAGAACGGCCCAAAAGUUCCAUUUUUUGGGCCAUACCGCUGAUUUGGGCUUGGGCAGUUGCCGGUUUGGGCUAGAAUGAGCUAAAGAGGUCGGUUUCCUGUGUCUGGUUUUGUUUCAGCGAAGUCACCGUUAGGCCGGUUUGGGCGGCCGGUUUCGUUGCUGCCAAGGCAACAGAUGUAUUUUAGUGGGGAAUGGAUUGCAGCUGCUGCAACGGAGAUAGCGGGGUGUUGUUUUUGGUGUGCUUUUGAAGGCCGGUAGCGCUUAAGUGCAGAGCAUUGAAGGUAUGGCGGUCGUUCCUGGUGCUUGCAGCAUCUGUCUGGGUCAGCAAUCUGAAGGAGGUCCUGUUGUGCAUGUGUCUGAUCAUGUGAUUCUGAACGCUGUGGUGAAGGCUUUAGAAGGAUCCAGUCCUUUCUAUUCAUUUAGGAUAGUUGACGGCCUUUAUGUGGCCACGGGUUUUGUGGUUGUCCCCUUGGCAGAUCAGGUUGAUGAUCUAACUCUUCUUGAGGCAAUGGGCUCACCAUCGGUUAGUAAGGAUGGUGCAGAGGAGUUGGCAGCUCAUGCUCUGAUUGUUGCCGCGGAACGCGAAUUCAGUGUUGUAGUUAAGGAUUUCAAUUUUGAUGCGGUAAAAGUUCUGAGAAUGGAGAAUGAAAAGCUGCGCAGGAACAAUCGACUGCUUAGGUCUGCUUGGGUUCAGUCGCUCGAUCAUCUUGAGACGCUUCAGAAGACGCUUGAAGAGAUCACCAUGGACGCUUUAGUGGUUCUCCAAGGAACUCCAUUGCUGUACUUGCUCAUGGAGCUGCUGUUUGGGCUGAGGAGAAUGUUUGGGAUGGCACCGCUGCCAUGGAGAACCUGUCGAGGGACUUCAUGGAUGAGGACUGAGAUGAUUGCUGUGGGCUGUGGCAUCUACAUUUUGUCUGUGUAUGGGUUUCGUAGGAGCUAAUGUUUAGCAGUGGCUUGUACGCCUGAGGAUGUGUACUGCAAUUUGUUUAGGUGUGUAUGUUGAGUUGUCUGUAAGAACAUAUAUGAAUAUAUGUACUGUAUUGGUGUGCUAGAUUGCAUGAACUUUUGUCUCUUUGUUUCGUUGCCUGUUGAUGGUGAGUGGAACUGUUAUGGAGUUGUAAGCUAUAUUUGACCGCA